GAAAAUACUCAUGCCCACAAUCAGGCUAAAAAGAAGCAUGGCAGCACACCAUUCCUACGGAGUGUAACUACAAUUGUAAUAACCUAGGCUACAAAUGCACUGCCCAGUUAGCGAGGCACUGCGAUAUGUACGGUGGGGCAUUUUUGGCCUCAUCUCUGUGACUUGUGUUUGAUUGAAUAAAUCCUACAAGUAUCAAAAGAAAAAAAAAGUUGUAGCCAAGAGAUUGAAGCUCAGUUCCACCUCCAUAAAAAUGACAUCUCCAACCAUAUGGUAGCAUAGUUAGGCUGCCAUUUAUAAGAACACUAGUUAACUGGUUAUAUUUGUAAGCCUGCAAAAAUCAAUGGCAACAUUAGCACCUCUUAAACUGAUCAAGAUUAUUAGAAUAUCAGGAACAUGUUAGCAGACAGCUUUGAACUGAUAUUAGGUUUCUAUUGUCUUCGUAUGGAACUGUAAAACAACUGAUGUUAGUACUAUAUAAUGCUUGUCGAACAGUUGACUGAACCAAGCUUUCUAUGAUCGAAAGGAUAACCAAUAGACAGAGCAACAGGCCACAUUUCAACUUGCUUAAUAUUUCAUCAUAUUCUGAAUCAUAAAAAUCAAUCAUGAAAUCAAAAAUACAGAUCUAAGCUUUAGGUUUAAAAUUUGAAAUCCGUGAUGCUGAAGUAAACAAAAAAGCAAGCGGCGAUUGCAUUCAGUGAUUCAGAGGAGCAAGCAAAACGUCGCAUACUUUACAAGAUGGACAUGAAGUAGUAGAGCUGAAUGCCACGCACCCUUCGCCGGGGCUGGGCCAGAUCCAGGCGUCGAGCAAUCCGCCGCCACGCACCCUUCACCCUGCUCUCCAUAUAUUGCCGCGCCCGUCGGUGGAGGAAGCAACGGAGCCGGAAGCGGCCGCCGCCACCGCCGAGCCCUUCCGCUUCCCAUUUGUCGUUGCGCCGGUCUGCUCGCCCGACACCACCGCCGGGCCCGUCGGUUCCAGCGAUGCUGCCGCAUCUGCCAAGCCUUGAAUAACUUUCGCGUCCUGCAUCUAACAGAGGAGGAGAAGAGAUGGUGGCGGAUGAGGGAAGAUGGUGACAAGGUUGGAGAUUUCGCGCGCUCUCAGUACCAAUUUUGCCGCCACCACAACUGAUUUCGCGCGCACCACAAUCGAUCCGGAGGAGGAGGCGUCGGCGACGACGAGGACGUACAACGGCAUUGGCGCUAGCAGUUUGGCCUGGGAGCACGAGCCAGUGCCGUCGUCUAGCGAGACGACGGCGAGCUUCUUUCUCAUCAUUAAACACGGCACACGUCGG
rnacentral:lncRNA from 1 species